rnacentral:tRNA from 1 species
UAGAUUGAAGCCAGUUGUUUAGGGUUUUUAGCUGUUAACUAACAUUUUAUGGGUUAAAAUCCCAUCAAUCUAG